CCUCCUGCAUGUUGUCUUUAAAUCCUCUUAAGGCUGACUGAUUCUUUUUAACAAUUUGCAUCUCUUGCUACAGAAGACCAAUCUAGCAUGUGUUCUUGGGGAACAUGCCCAAGAAAGGAGGGAGGCAUGCUGACAGGGCAAAUGAUGGGCCCGUACAGUGUAAACGAGCAAAGGUGGAAGCAGCUUGUUCUCCAUCAGCCAUGAGUUUUGAGAACCCAGACAGCCUCUUUGGAAGCUUGAUCUCUCCCAUCAAACAAGAGGUGUUUUUCAGGGAGUACUGGGAGCAAAAGCCAUUGCUUGUUCAGAGGAACAAUCCCCUGCUGGCUGCCUACUACCAGUCCCUGUUCCAGUUGUCAGAUCUGAAGGAACUGUGUGGCCGGGGUCUGUACUAUGGGCGGGAUCUAAAUAUCUGCAGAUGUGUGAAUGGAAAAAAGAAAGUUUUAAAUAAAGAAGGCAAAGUGAACUACAUGCAGCUGAAGAAGGAUUU